rnacentral:rRNA from 1 species
ACUCCUGCGGGAGGCAGCAGUGGGGAAUAUUGGACAAUGGGCGCAAGCCUGAUCCAGCCAUGCCGCGUGAGUGAUGAAGGCCCUAGGGUUGUAAAGCUCUUUUGUGCGGGAAGAUAAUGACGGUACCGCAAGAAUAAGCCCCGGCUAACUUCGUGCCAGCAGCCGCGGUAAUACGAAGGGGGCUAGCGUUGCUCGGAAUCACUGGGCGUAAAGGGUGCGUAGGCGGGUCUUUAAGUCAGGGGUGAAAUCCUGGAGCUCAACUCCAGAACUGCCUUUGAUACUGAAGAUCUUGAGUUCGGGAGAGGUGAGUGGAACUGCGAGUGUAGAGGUGAAAUUCGUAGAUAUUCGCAAGAACACCAGUGGCGAAGGCGGCUCACUGGCCCGAUACUGACGCUGAGGCACGAAAGCGUGGGGAGCAAACAGGAUUAGAAACCCCUGUAGUCCC